rnacentral:rRNA from 1 species
CAGUUGCAUUGUUGUAAAACUAGAAUUCACAUCGAUGAAGAACGUAGCGAAAUGCGAUACUUGGUGUGAAUUGCAGAAUCCCAUGAACCAUCGAGUUUUUGAACGCAAGUUGUGCCCCAAGCCAUUAGGCUGAGGGAACGUCUGCCUGGGUGUCA